CUGUCAAACAAAAGGGUCUGCUUUUCUAUCCGAAAAACAAGUCUUUCAUCUGAUAAGAAAUGCCAAGAGUAUAAUUAUCGUUGUAACACUACACAGUUGGAUGCUUUACAUCUCGAAGAUAAAUCUUAAUCCAGAUUAUGAACCAUAUGGGUUACUUACUGUCACACGCGGUGGUUUAUUUAUAUAUUUAGCGUUUGUCUCCCGCCACAGCAUAGCACACGGUUCAUUUUGUUAACCCUGUACACAUCUUAACUUUCACUUGGAUUUCUACAGUUUAUUUUCUUGAAGGUCAUGGAAGGAAUAGACGUCUAUAAUUUUCACGAGGAAGAGGCCAUUUCAAAGUCAGAAGAUAGAGGAAAACAUUUUACCAUUCCCUUUACCUACCACUAGCAUUGAAACUCCUCCUCCAGUAGAGAAUACUAUUGAGAACAAAAGCAAUGACUGCUAUGUAGUAGAUUGGAAUGGUAAAGUGUUUUUGUCCCUAAAGAUGUCUGAAAAAUCCUAUAUUUUUUGCAAGAGGCAAAUUGGACAAAUGACUGGAGACCAAUUUAUUUCCAAUGAAAAUAAAGACUCUUACGUUUUAAACAGAAAAGACAUUCAAGGGGACCAAAAAGGUUUUAUCAUAUGCUAUAUUAAAUGCAAUGUGAAUGACAAUAAAAUUUGUUUGUUUAAACCAGCAACUUCACUAAAGGAUGAAAUACUAAAUUAUAUGAAGGAUGAAGGACCAACUGAAAACGAUAAACAUGAUGACGAGGUUGAUGAUACGUCCAAAUGAAAUAAACUGUUUUAUUAUAUGACUAAAUUUUCUGUUUUCUAAUUUGCUAAAAACAUUAGAAAUCCUCUUCGAUAAAUCAUCAUAUUGAACGCGACAAAAAUCAUGAGAGGUUAAUAUAAGAUUCGGAACAGUGUCUGUAUACCUAAAUAUAGAUUUUCAAAGGAAAAGUCAAUGACGUAGGUUUAUAACGUCAUGUACAAUCCCGUUGUUCUUUUUCUUCUUAUUUUCUGGGCAUUUUCUGCUGUUCUUUUUAUUUUAGGUGUAUUUCUCUAUCAACUUUACUGAAUAUUUCAACUUACAAAAUGUAUAAAAAAAAUUAACAAUCAUGAGAUAGGAAAUUUGUUUUUAUAAAAUGUAUCCAUCAGCGUUCUUGUGAUAAAAUCAUUAUUAACUGCAUACAUGCAUUUUUGAUAAGUGCAGUGCACCAAAUAAAAAGUAACAAAUGUAAAAUAACUUGUUUAUAUUUAUUUUGGUAUUGAAAUAAUGUCAUAUACCGUUACCUUUUAUAGAUGCUGUAAUGUACCAAAUCUAUUACUUAUUGUAUAAGUAUGCAGGUUGAUUAUUGCCUUUAUGAACCACUUAUGUAUUUGUAUCUCAUAUUUGAUGUGCUAGCUAAAUAACUGGCAGCAUACAUAUGCAAACAAAUUUAGUCGUUGUAAAGCUUUUGUCUAAACAUCUCUAUAUUGAUAACAAAAAUUUGCCUUUAGUCUAUUAUAAAAUGUGUUUUGAAUAACAACAUACUAUAAUAUACAUUAUGUAUAACUCAUAUAGAGGAGUAUUUUACUCAGAAGUGAACACAUUUUUUGUAAUGUGUUUAUUAUAUGUGUUUCACUCAUUGGUCAUAAUUAACUUCUCACAAAUAAACCGAAAUGCAAUCUUUUAGUGUGUGUUUGUUGUGUAAUGUUAAUAAAUUUAACAGCUAAAUAUUCUGAUUCGUGCAGCUCUUGUAACAGAAAUCUGAUGAGCUUUUUUCAAAAUGUAUAAGAUAUCAUAGCAAAAGAAAACCCA